rnacentral:lncRNA from 1 species
UGUUCUCGACCCACAUUUCAAGGGUCCUGCUUCAGGAAUGGAAGGAGUGACAGCCUUUUCCAAUGAUGCCGACGUAGGCUUAUUGCUCACCCCAGACGCCUCUGGCCAUUUAGCCAAAGGCACCCCCAGGUAUUACAGGGCAGCCCAGGGCAGGCCCUACCAGGCCAGGUUUUACCAGUGAUCCUAUCUGGGCCACAUCUGCACAUUGUCCUUGUCUGGCUGGAGAUUCUGGAGCCCAUCGAGGCACAGGCAUAUGCUCCUGCUCCAUAUGCAGCAAUACAGGAAAUUCCAGUGCCAGCUGUUGAGCCAGUGCCAGCGCCAGGGGAAGAGCCCCCUCCAGGGACAGCGCUGGAACUAGAGGCAGCUCCAGCCAAGGACCAGCCCAGGGAGGAGCUGCCUGACAUCAUGGAACCGAGAGCAGGAAAAGGAGCCUGCGAGGAGGGGUUCCAGCAGCUCCUCCUGCUCCCAGAGGCGGCCUCCUCCUCCAGGCAUGGAGGUCUGCCCGCAACCGGGCAUCUGGGCUGUUUGCCCCUAAUCUGCUGCCCGGGACCGGCU